AACGGGAACGGGAGCGAAUCGACCGCGAGCGGCUGCAGCGGCACCGCGACCACAACGGCGCCUGGAGGAGGGAGUGGGACGCGCAGAAACCCGAGGCCUUUUUCCACGACGAUCGCUGGGAGCCGCAGCCGGAGCCUGAGAGGCCCCAGGUGACCCCAAAUUUGGGAUUUUUGGGAUUUUUGGGAUUUGGAAUUUUGAGAAUUUGGAAUUUUAGGAUUUGGGAAUUUUGGGAUUCCUUUCCCCCCUGGAAUUUUGGGGAUUUGGGAUUUUUUGGGGGGAUUUUGGACCAGCCCCGAAAUUUUAGGAUUUGGAAUUUUGGGAAAUUUGGGAAUUUUGGAAUUUGGGGGAUUUGGGGAAUUUUGAGAUUUUGGAAUUUUGGGAUUUGGGGAAUUUUGGGAUUCUGGAAUAUUUGGGAUUUUGGGACCCCCCCUCCCCCAGAAUUUUUGGAUUUGGGAAUUUUGGAUGUUGGCAUGCCCAGAAUUUUGGGGAUUUGGGGGAUUUGGGAUUUUUCAGCCUCCCCAGCAUUUUAGGAUUUGGGAAUUUUGGGAUUUUUUGAUUUAGGAUUUUUGGGAAUGUUGGGAUUUGGGAUUUUUGGGAUUUUUGGAUUUAGGAUUUUUUGGGAAUUUGGGAAAUUUUGGGAUUUGGGAGUUUGGGAUUUUGGGAUCCCCCGAAUUUUGGGGAUUUGGGAUUUUGGGGAUUUUUGGAUUUAGGAUUUUUGGGAAUUUUGGAAUUACGGGAUUUGGGAUUUUGGGGAUUUUUGGAUUUGGGAUUUUUGGGAAUGUGGGGAAUUUUGGGAUUUUUGGGAAUUUGGGAGAUUUUUGGGAUUUUGGGAUUUCCCCCCCCCCCCAGGUCCCCGAGAAGGUUCCGGAAGGCGGCGCCGCCCCGGGGGGGGUCCCGCGGGGGUCCCAGGAGGACUCGGACCAGUGGGAGGAUCUGAGCGAGGACGAGGAGGAGGAGGAGGAGGAGGAGGAGGAGGAGGAGGAGGAGGAAGGCCCCGGCUCGGAGCAGCGCGAACCAGUGACCCCCAGCGACCCCCGGUGCGUCCCAGUUCAAACCAGUUCAAACCAGUGACCCCCAGUUUAAACCAGUGACCCCCCGGUGCGUCCCAGUUCAAACCAGUGACCCCCAGUGACCCCCCCGGUGCGUCCCAGUUCAAACCAGUUCAAACCAGUGACUCCCAGUUCAAACCAGUGACCCCCCGGUGUGUCCCAGUUUAAACCAGUGACCCCCAGUGACCCCCCCGGUGCGUCCCAGUAUGGCCCAGUUCAAACCAGUGACCCCCAGUCGCUCCCAGUUCACACCAGUCCCUCCCAGUUCAAACCAGUGACUCCCAGUUUAAACCAGUGACCCCCCCAGUGCGUCCCAGUUCAAACCAGUAACUCCCAGUGACCCCCGGUGCGUCCCAGUAUGGCCCAGUUCAAACCAGUGACCCCCAGUCGCCCCCAGUUCACCCCAGUCCCUCCCAGUUCAAACCAGUGACUCCCAGUUCAAACCAGUGACCCCCGGUCCGUCCCAGUAUGGCCCAGUUCAAACCAGUUCAAACCAGUGACCCCCAGUUCAAACCAGUGACCCCCAGUGACCCCGUGCCCCAGUUCAAACCAGUUCAAACCAGUGACUCCCAGUGACCCCUCCAGUCCCUCCCAGUUCACACCAGUGACCCCCAGUUCACACCAGUCCCUCCCAGUCUCUCCCAGUUCACACCAGUGACCCCCAGUCCCUCCCAGUCCUUCCCAGUCCCUCCCAGUUCACACCAGUACCCCCUCCCCCCAGUCCCUCCCAGUUCACACCAGUAACCCCCAGUCCCUCCCAGUUCACACCAGUAACCCCCAGUCCCUCCCAGUUCACACCAGUAACCCCAGUCCCCCCAGUCCCUCCCAGUUCACACCCCAGUCCCUCCCAGUCCCUCCCAGUUCACACCAGUAACCCCCAGUCCCUCCCAGUCUCUCCCCCAGCCCAGGGCGGGGUCCCGGAGCCGCCCCUCCCCCCCCCGAGCCCCUGCCGGAGCCCCCCGGAGACCCCGGAGCGAAACGGGACCCCCCCCGACGGUACUGGGGAUACUGGGGGGGACUGGGACGGACUGGGAGGGAACUGGAAGGGAACUGGGAUGAACUGGGAGGGAACUGGGAGGGGGUAGGGGGGAACUGGGAGGG
ensembl:lncRNA